UCGCGACAAAUAUUCCCUUUUCAAACGCCUAGAAAAAAAUAAGACCAAACUAACAAUAAGGGAAAAUAUGCAAAGGAAAAAGAAAUUUCAUAUAGACUGUAAUUUUCUCAAUGUGAACAGAUUACUUCUAUAGACAGGCGGCAAGAGGAAAAAAUAACAGUGGAAAUAAUAAAUCGUGGCGAGGUGUUGUCGGAUGAUUCCUCGAGUUUUCCGCACAGAUAUUCUUCAGUUAUCGAAGAGAGAUGGACGUGUUCUACAGGCAGUACAACACUUAUCGUAUACUACUGAGUGUCUUAGGACUCUGGCCAUAUCACAAGUCGAUUUACUCUACGAUUCACAGAAUAUCGAUCUCUUUAAUUAUGCUCAUCUAUAUAGUUUUCCAGGUUUUAUCGCUUUUUAAAUCUGGUAUUACAUUUCGAGGUUGCAUCGUAACAUUAUCUGCAAUCUGUCCAGUUAUGGUCAUUUUCAUGCGAUAUGUCACUUCUGUAGCAAUGUUUCCUGUGGUACGUGAUGCUCUAAAGUGAAGUUUAUGAAGUUCAACUAAUGAGAUUCGUAUAUAUUUUUACACAUGGGUACAGACUAUAUAUCUUUUUGACAACCUACGCACCAUAGACAUCAUGCUGAAAGAUCAACUGGAAGUUCAGAUACUGAUGAAAUACGUAGAUUAUUCGACUUAUAUAAUCUCCAUUUUCCUAUGCCUAUGUUGCUCGUGGUCUUUAUUCGGAGCGUUAUAUGUCUUCACUCCGAUAACGUUGGAUCUGCUAAUGCCUAUGAAUGAAUCUCGAAGACGUUAUUUUUCCUACUUAACAAUGUUUUCUCACGAUCGGAUAGAGUAUGUCGAUAUCGUAUACAUGAAUAUCCUAGUCGUUUAUGCAAUUGGAUCGUUGUGUCUGGCGGGUACGGAACUGAUGUUGGCUGUGUUUGCCCACUACAUGUGCGGAAUGUUCGAGAUAACUAGGUACGAAUGAAUAUGCUGACUUUUAUCUUUUUCACAUGGUCAUUGCGUGCAACAGACACAUUACAACACUUACAAGGUUACAAUGAUCAUGAUGGUCAGGUAAAUAUACGAUCAGCAAAACAUUCAAACAAUUCCAUUUAAACGGAGAAGGUGUUUCACAGCGGACCGUUAAUAUUGCUGUCAUAGAAUUUCAGUAAAUUUAUUCAAUUACGAUUUACCUAACUCUCAUUCUCAGACUUUCCUAUUUUGCUCGUAUGUGCUGUAUGUUUCAGAUGAAAUUGUUUGUAUGUAUUCAUAUGGCCACAAUCUAUUUUCACUAAACUCAGCUUUAAAAUCAAUCGACCGAAGAGAAAUGGUUACCUGUGUGAUCAGUUAAUUCUAAUAAAUAUAUCUCAAUACAGUCAUUAAUACGAUAAUUCGCAGGCUGUCAGCUAAUUAGGGUUAAUUCAGACGAUACAAAGUGAAAUUCUUUGUUAAAUCAUAUUUGUCUAAAAAUUUCCGCACGUUUUUAGCUAUCGAAUGCAAAAAACAAUUGCGGGUCUGUCUUCGUCGACGCAGAUCGACCCGAACUUCAAGGACUUCCGCUACGUCGUAGACAAUCAUAGGAAAACACUACAGUUGGUACAUUCGACUAUAAUGGGUAUUCGAUGGUAGAUAUUUAAGCUGAUCCUACUUUGUUUUCCAUGCAUUUUCUGCCGAUGUUUCUUGUGAAAUUCAUUCGCGUGACAAAGUUUCAUCAAUUACGUAUUAUCGAAUUAUCCGAUACAUUAUCUUCUGCCAUCUGCUGUAGCCGUGGUGUCUGUUUCUGUGAGUUUGCAUCGAGUUUCUAAAACGAUAACAGACUCGAAAGAUGAAAAAGAAAUCUUCAUCUGUAUCUUUUUUCUUAUUAGUCAUUUAGCAUUUUUGUACAUAUGUUGCUAUUCCGGACAAAUUAUAAUAGAUCGCAGUCUG